AUUCCAGCUCCAAUAGCGUAUAUUAAAGUUGUUGCAGUUAAAAAGCUCGUAGUUGGAUUCUGGUGGGAGCGUUGGGCCGGCCCUAAGGGUCUGAGCUCAAAUGUUUUCCGCCAUCCUUGGAGGGAUGUUGUCUGGCAUUAAGUUGUCGGGCUUCCGAUCUCCAUCGUUUACUGUGAAAAAAUUAGAGUGUUCAAAGCAGGCUUAUGCCGUUGAAUACAUUAGCAUGGAAUAAUAAGAUAGGACCUUGGUACUAUUUUGUUGGUUUGCGUACCUAGGUAAUGAUUAAUAGGGACAGUUGGGGAUAUUACUAUUUCGUUGUCAGAGGUGAAAUCCUUGGAUUUACGGAAGAGUAACUACUGCGAAAGCAUUUAUCAAGGAUGUUUUCAUUA
rnacentral:rRNA from 1 species